AGUGAACGCUGGCGGUAGGCCUAACACAUGCAAGUCGAACGGCAGCACAGUAAGAGCUCGCUCUUACGGGUGGCGAGUGGCGGACGGGUGAGGAAUACAUCGGAAUCUACUUUUUCGUGGGGGAUAACGUAGGGAAACUUACGCUAAUACCGCAUACGACCUACGGGUGAAAGCAGGGGAUCUUCGGACCCUGCGCGAUUGAAUGAGCCGAUGUCGGAUUAGCUAGUUGGCGGGGUAAAGGCCCACCAAGGCGACGAUCCGUAGCUGGUCUGAGAGGAUGAUCCGCCACACUGGAACUGAGACACGGUCCAGACUCCUACGGGAGGCAGCAGUGGGGAAUAUUGGCCAAUGGGCGCAAGCCUGAUCCAGCCAUACCGCGUGGGUGAAGAAGGCCUUCGGGUUGUAAAGCCCUUUUGUUGGGAAAGAAAAGCAGCAGGUUAAGACCCCGCUGUUCUGACGGUACCCAAAGAAUAAGCACCGGCUAACUUCGU
rnacentral:rRNA from 1 species